AAGUCGUAACAAGGUCUCCGUAGGUGAACCUGCGGAGGGAUCAUUAACUUGUAAGUGCGAAAGCACUAUCAAACCAAACAAACCAAACCCGUGAAAUCGCCACAUCUAGUGUGGUAUUGCCAGCGCCGAAAUAUCGAAAAGCGCAACGGAGCAUUCAGUUGCUGCACAGCAGCGUGUCACCGCUUGGAAUGGAUGUUUGUGUGCGUCUAACGUUUCGAUGUUAGACGGGCGCUUACAUCCUGGUGUCGCGGCCGCGCUUAGUAGGUUCGGAACAAAUUUCAACAAACCUAUCUCACCCAUUUCGUAUAAAUAUAGACUGAAACAAUAGGACGUUGUGUGUUUAACGACAUGCAAUAGCCGACUAUUUUCGAGUAUUCGAAAUCUAAGCACAACUCUUAGCAACGGAUAUCUUGGUUCUC
rnacentral:misc_RNA from 1 species